AAGUCAGUUGUGAAAGCCUUCCGCUUAACGGAAGAACGGCAUCUGAUACUACAGGGCUUGAGUACGGGAGGGGAGAGUGGAACUUCUGGUGGAGCGGUGAAAUGCGUAGAUAUCAGAAGGAACGCCGGCGGCGAAAGCGACUCUUUGGUCCGAAACUGACGCUGAGUGUGCGAAAGCUAGGGGAGCAAACGGGAUUAGAUACCCCGGUAGUCCUGGCCGUAAACGAU
rnacentral:rRNA from 1 species